GAUGAACGCUAGCUACAGGCUUAACACAUGCAAGUCGAGGGGCAGCAUGAAGUUUGCUUGCAAACUUUGAUGGCGACCGGCGCACGGGUGAGUAACGCGUAUCCAACCUUCCCUAUAGUAGAGAAUAGCCCGGCGAAAGUCGGAUUAAUGCUCUAUGUUAUUCAAAGCGGACAUCUAAUUUGAAUCAAAGGUUCACCGCUAUAGGAUGGGGAUGCGUCUGAUUAGCUUGAUGGCGGGGUAACGGCCCACCAUGGCGACGAUCAGUAGGGGUUCUGAGAGGAAGGUCCCCCACAUUGGAACUGAGACACGGUCCAAACUCC
rnacentral:rRNA from 1 species